rnacentral:rRNA from 1 species
ACAUGCAAGUCGAGCGGUAGAUUUUUUAGCUUGCUAAAAAUUGAGAGCGGCGAACGGGUGAGUAACACGUUGAUAUCUGCCCCUAAGUCAGGGAUAAUCCAGGGAAACCUGGACUAAUACCGGAUAGUCUCUUCGGAGUAAAAAUUUAUUGCUUAGGGAGGAAUCUGCGGUCUAUCAGCUUGUUGGUAAGGUAAUGGCUUACCAAGGCUAUGACGGAUAACUGGUCUGAGAGGAUGACCAGUCACAAUGGAACUGAGACACGGUCCAUACUCC